rnacentral:rRNA from 1 species
UACGUAGGGGGCGAGCGUUGUCCGGAUUUAUUGGGCGUAAAGCGCGUGUAGGCGGCUUGGCAAGUCAGUUGUGAAAGCCCGGGGCCCAACCCCGGAAUUGCAUCUGAAACUGCCUAGCUAGAGUCCCGGAGAGGAAGGCAGAAUUCCCGGUGUAGGGGUGAAAUCCGUAGAUAUCGGGAGGAAUACCAGCGGCGAAGGCGGCCUUCUGGACGGUGACUGACGCUGAGACGCGAAAGCGUGGGGAGCAAACAGG